GAUGAACGCUGGCGGCGUGCCUAAUACAUGCAAGUCGAGCGAACAGACGAGGAGCUUUCUCCUCUGACGUUACCGGCGGACGGGUGAGUAACACGUGGAUAACCUACCUAUAAGACUGGGAUAACUUCGGGAAACCUGAGCUCAUACCGGAUAAUAUAUUGAACCGCAUGGUUCAUUAGUGAAAGACGGUUUUGCUGUCACUUAUAGAUGUAUCCGCGCCGCAUUAGCUAGUUGGUAAGGUAACGGCUUACCAAGGCAACGAUGCGUAGCCGACCUGAGAGGGUGAUCGGCCACACUGGAACUGAGACACGGUCCAGACUCCUACGGGAGGCAGCAGUAGGGAAUCUUCCGCAAUGGGCGAAAGCUUGACGGAGCAACGCCGCGUGAGUGAUGAAGGUCUUCGGAUCGUAAAACUCUGUUAGUAGGGAAGAACAAAUGUGUAAGUAACUAUGCACGUCUUGACGGUACCUAAUCAGAAAGCCACGGCUAACUACGUG
rnacentral:rRNA from 1 species